CUUAAGAAACCUAAACGCCAAGGCAAAGCAACGCCCUUAUAUGCCGGGAAUUCGGACCUAAUUGAAGACUGAAAGCGCGCAUACCGGAACUUUGGUCCUGCUUCUUGGCCCCACCCCGCAUAGCCCAGCCCUGGAUGACGUCACCAACGACUCCAGCCUUUGGCAUCUGAGCGCCGGCUCCGCGGAGGCGUCUCUUGCAAUUGCUGGGAAAUAGGAAUGAGAGUUUUAAGGCUGUUUUAACAACCAAAUCAGAUUAAAUAAAUUAACAUGUUUAAAUUGUUAUCAAUUGUUCCUUCAGUUGCUUUAGGACGAUUGGAGAGGAGCCUCGGUCCACAAGACCGGAAGCCUGAGGAGUGCAGCUUUGUCCCCAAGGUCACAGUGACUGGCUUUCUGCUGCCGGCUGUAAAGCACAUGCGGACCGAAACCCCCCUUCGGAAGUGUUUGAAAACUGCAAGAUUUCACCCUCUCCAUCACCAAGCCAAGGGAAACAUAACCAAAAGGGUUUUCUUCCCGAUGGCGAAGGCAUGAUAGCAAAGAAUGCCAAAAGGAGGAGAGAGACUUUCCAGACUGGGAAGUGCCAAAAGGGAGAAAACUGAAAAAGAUAGGGAAAUCUGUGGACAUCCUGAGUCUUAAAUGGUCACCGUGAUUUAGGAACUUGUCCCAAAUCCACCAAAUAAAAAUAUAUGCACCCU
rnacentral:lncRNA from 1 species